CCUGGCUCAGGAUGAACGCUGGCGGCGUGCCUAAUACAUGCAAGUCGAACGCUUUGUAAAGGAGCUUGCUUCUUUACGAGGAGUGGCGAACGGGUGAGUAAUACAUAAGCAAUCUGCCCAUCGGCCUGGGAUAACAGUUGGAAACGACUGCUAAUACCGGAUAGGUUAGUUUCUGGCAUCAGGGACUAAUUAAAGUUGGGAUACAACACGGAUGGAUGAGCUUAUGGCGUAUUAGCUAGUAGGUGAGGUAACGGCCCACCUAGGCGAUGAUACGUAGCCGACCUGAGAGGGUGACCGGCCACAUUGGGACUGAGACACGGCCCAAACUCCUACGGGAGGCAGCAGUAGGGAAUUUUCGGCAAUGGGCGAAAGCCUGACCGAGCAACGCCGCGUGAGUGAAGAAGGCCUUCGGGUUGUAAAGCUCUGUUGUGAAGGAAGAACGGCUCAUAGAGGGAAUGCUAUGGGAGUGACGGUACUUUACCAGAAAGCCACGGCUAACUACGUGCCAGCAGCCGCGGUAAUACGUAGGUGGCGAGCGUUAUCCGGAAUUAUUGGGCGUAAAGGGUGCGCAGGCGGUUUGAAAAGUUUAAGGUGAAAGCGUGGGGCUUAACCCCAUACAGCCUUAGAAACUGUCAGACUAGAGUACAGGAGAGGGCAAUGGAAUUCCAUGUGUAGCGGUAAAAUGCGUAGAUAUAUGGAGGAACACCAGUGGCGAAGGCGGUUGCCUGGCCUGUAACUGACGCUCAUGCACGAAAGCGUGGGGAGCAAAUAGGAUUAGAUACCCUAGUAGUCCACGCCGUAAACGAUGAGAACUAAGUGUUGGGGAAACUCAGUGCUGCAGUUAACGCAAUAAGUUCUCCGCCUGGGGAGUAUGCACGCAAGUGUGAAACUCAAAGGAAUUGACGGGGGCCCGCACAAGCGGUGGAGUAUGUGGUCUAAUUCGACGCAACGCGAAGAACCUUACCAGGUCUUGACAUACCAGGCAAAGCUAUAGAGAUAUAGUGGAGGUUAUCCUGGAUACAGGUGGUGCAUGGUUGUCGUCAGCUCGUGUCGUGAGAUGUUGGGUUAAGUUCCGCAACGAGCGCAACCCUUGUCUUUAGUUACUUACAUUAAGUUGAGGACUCUAGAGAGACUGCCGGUGACAAACCGGAGGAAGGUGGGGAUGACGUCAAAUCAUCAUGCCCUUUAUGAUCUGGGCUACACACGUACUACAAUGGCGGAUACAACGAGAAGCAAGACAGCGAA
rnacentral:rRNA from 1 species